CCAAGAGCGAGGCUUGGAGAAGCUGUAAAAAUUUCCCACCCUACCUGCUAACUGAAAAAUAGGACAACUUUCAGUCUCGAGGGCAAGAAAGUAAAUGCAUCGAUGAUGCCCCUUUCCCAGAUCAGCUUGGGGACUUUACUGUCAAUAUUCCCCAGGAGUGUCCCUGCUCAGAGGAAAUAAAAAAAAGAAAAGACAAAAAGCAAUUACUACCACCUCACAGCAAGACUGGAGACCUCUAAUGUAACCGUUUUGAGAAAAAGCUUAGAAACCACCCAAAAGGUGAAGGGGCAAGGCAGGUUCUGUUCACCCAGAAUUCUUCAUGCUCCUCUGGAGACCGACGUGUUCAUCCAUCUAUGUGUCCAUUUAAUUAUUUACUUAGCAAUCACUGACUGCGCAGUCACCGGGUAUCACCUGGGGUUCUCGGGUCAACAAGACGCAUUUCCUGUCCCUGAGGAGCUAAUUUCUAAUAUACGAACAAGCCACCAGACACCCAUACCAGCAAUUUCCAUGCUACCUGGUAGUUGUCAUGACGGAAUUCACACAGUUGGAAGCCUACAGAAGUGAUGCUUUUGUGCAAUCAGGAGAAUUUCUACACAGAUGAUCCACCAACGCGUCACUUCUGAAAGCUGCGAGGUGCUGCCGGGAGGAAGGGAGUAUGAGAAGGUGUUCGUGCGAAUUUCCUCUGUCCUCUGAUGAUUCACGGUGUUCCUUCCUCUUGGAUAACUCCCGCCUGAGAGGUGGGAAUGCAGCGGCUUCAUCGGAACAGAGAAGAAAUCUUGAAUCAAUAGAAAAAUAAUAGUUUUUUUUGUUUGGAUAGGAACAUGUUAAUAUUUAAAUGAGACUAAUUCUCCCUAAAUUAAGGUAGAACUUUAAAGCAAACCCAACAAAUAUACUAGAAGGAUUUUCUUUAACAUAGCAAGCUGAUUCUAAAAUUCAUGUGAAAAUAAACAAACAAAAAGUGAUCCACAGAAGAAUUCUGAUGCACAAAAGUAAGGAGGGAUAAAUAGUGUACUAGUAACUAAAAUAACCACUGCUGUAUUCCAAACACACAGACGAAUGGUGGUUACACAGCAUGCUUUCAUGAAAACGUUGGAUAAAGGCAUAAAAGAAUGAAUUUGAGCCAGAACGACAACUAGUUGGUGCUGGUAGAGACGUGAUGAUCUGUGGAGUAGCAAAGAGAAUCUAGAGACAUACUCAGAUCCGAGUGGGAAAUUAGCAUGAGAUACAGAUGACUCCUGGGU